rnacentral:rRNA from 1 species
GGUUAAGCGACUAAGCGUACACGGUGGAUGCCCUGGCAGUCAGAGGCGAUGAAGGACGUGCUAAUCUGCGAAAAGCGCCGGUAAGGUGAUAUGAACCGUUAUAACCGGCGAUGUCCGAAUGGGGAAACCCAGUGCAAUCCGUUGCACUAUCGUUUGAUGAAUACAUAGUCAAACGAGGCGAACCGGGGGAACUGAAACAUCUAAGUACCCCGAGGAAAAGAAAUCAACCGAGAUUCCCCCAGUAGCGGCGAGCGAACGGGGAGGAGCCCAGAGUCUGAAUCAGUUUGUGUGUUAGUGGAAGCGUCUGGAAAGUCGCGCGAUACAGGGUGACAGCCCCGUACACAAAAGCACACAGGCUGUGAACUCGAUGAGUAGGGCGGGACACGUGGUAUCCUGUCUGAAUAUGGGGGGACCAUCCUCCAAGGCUAAAUACUCCUGACUGACCGAUAGUGAACCAGUACCGUGAGGGAAAGGCGAAAAGAACCCCGGCGAGGGGAGUGAAAAAGAACCUGAAACCGUGUACGUACAAGCAGUGGGAGCCUCUUAAUGGGGUGACUGCGUACCUUUUGUAUAAUGGGUCAGCGACUUAUAUUCUGUAGCAAGGUUAACCGAAUAGGGGAGCCGAAGGGAAACCGAGUCUUAACUGGGCGUUAAGUUGCAGGGUAUAGACCCGAAACCCGGUGAUCUAGCCAUGGGCAGGUUGAAGGUUGGGUAACACUAACUGGAGGACCGAACCGACUAAUGUUGAAAAAUUAGCGGAUGACCUGUGGCUGGGGGUGAAAGGCCAAUCAAACCGGGAGAUAGCUGGUUCUCCCCGAAAGCUAUUUAGGUAGCGCCUCGUGAAUUCAUCUCCGGGGGUAGAGCACUGUUUCGGCUAGGGGCCCAUCCCGGCUUACCAACCCGAUGCAAACUACGAAUACCGGAGAAUGUUAUCACGGGAGACACACGGCGGGUGCUAACGUCCGUCGUGAAGAGGGAAACAACCCAGACCGCCAGCUAAGGUCCCAAAGUCAUGGUUAAGUGGGAAACGAUGUGGGAAGGCCCAGACAGCCAGGAUGUUGGCUUAGAAGCAGCCAUCAUUUAAAGAAAGCGUAAUAGCUCACUGGUCGAGUCGGCCUGCGCGGAAGAUGUAACGGGGCUAAACCAUGCACCGAAGCUGCGGCAGCGACACUUAUGUGUUGUUGGGUAGGGGAGCGUUCUGUAAGCCUGCGAAGGUGUGCUGUGAGGCAUGCUGGAGGUAUCAGAAGUGCGAAUGCUGACAUAAGUAACGAUAAAGCGGGUGAAAAGCCCGCUCGCCGGAAGACCAAGGGUUCCUGUCCAACGUUAAUCGGGGCAGGGUGAGUCGACCCCUAAGGCGAGGCCGAAAGGCGUAGUCGAUGGGAAACAGGUUAAUAUUCCUGUACUUGGUGUUACUGCGAAGGGGGGACGGAGAAGGCUAUGUUAGCCGGGCGACGGUUGUCCCGGUUUAAGCGUGAAGGUGUGUGCUCCAGGCAAAUCCGGAGCACUUUAACACUGAGGCGUGAUGACGAGGCACUACGGUGCUGAAGUAACAAAUGCCCUGCUUCCAGGAAAAGCCUCUAAGCAUCAGGUAACACGAAAUCGUACCCCAAACCGACACAGGUGGUCAGGUAGAGAAUACCAAGGCGCUUGAGAGAACUCGGGUGAAGGAACUAGGCAAAAUGGUGCCGUAACUUCGGGAGAAGGCACGCUGAUGCGUAGGUGAAGUCCCUUGCGGAUGGAGCUGAAAUCAGUCGAAGAUACCAGCUGGCUGCAACUGUUUAUUAAAAACACAGCACUGUGCAAACACGAAAGUGGACGUAUACGGUGUGACGCCUGCCCGGUGCCGGAAGGUUAAUUGAUGGGGUCAUCCGUAAGGAGAAGCUCUUGAUCGAAGCCCCGGUAAACGGCGGCCGUAACUAUAACGGUCCUAAGGUAGCGAAAUUCCUUGUCGGGUAAGUUCCGACCUGCACGAAUGGCGUAAUGAUGGCCAGGCUGUCUCCACCCGAGACUCAGUGAAAUUGAACUCGCUGUGAAGAUGCAGUGUACCCGCGGCAAGACGGAAAGACCCCGUGAACCUUUACUAUAGCUUGACACUGAACACUGGUCCUUGAUGUGUAGGAUAGGUGGGAGGCUUUGAAGCGUGGACGCCAGUCUGCGUGGAGCCGCCCUUGAAAUACCACCCUUUAAUGGCUGGUGUUCUAACGUUGGCCCGUUACCCGGGUUGCGGACAGUGUCUGGUGGGUAGUUUGACUGGGGCGGUCUCCUCCUAAAGCGUAACGGAGGAGCACGAAGGUCAGCUAAUCCUGGUCGGACAUCAGGAGGUUAGUGCAAUGGCAUAAGCUGGCUUGACUGCGAGCGUGACGGCGCGAGCAGGUGCGAAAGCAGGUCAUAGUGAUCCGGUGGUUCUGAAUGGAAGGGCCAUCGCUCAACGGAUAAAAGGUACUCCGGGGAUAACAGGCUGAUACCGCCCAAGAGUUCAUAUCGACGGCGGUGUUUGGCACCUCGAUGUCGGCUCAUCACAUCCUGGGGCUGAAGUAGGUCCCAAGGGUAUGGCUGUUCGCCAUUUAAAGUGGUACGCGAGCUGGGUUUAGAACGUCGUGAGACAGUUCGGUCCCUAUCUGCCGUGGGCGCUGGAGAAUUGAGGGGGGCUGCUCCUAGUACGAGAGGACCGGAGUGGACGCAUCACUGGUGUUCGGGUUGUCAUGCCAAUGGCACUGCCCGGUAGCUAAAUGCGGAAGAGAUAAGUGCUGAAAGCAUCUAAGCACGAAACUUGCCCCGAGAUGAGUUCUCCCUGAGACUUUAAGUCUCCUGAAGGAACGUUGAAGACGACGACGUUGAUAGGCCGGGUGUGUAAGCGCAGCGAUGCGUUGAGCUAACCGGUACUAAUGAACCGUGAGGCUUAACCUU